rnacentral:rRNA from 1 species
GACGAACGCUGGCGGCGUGCUUAACACAUGCAAGUCGAACGGAAAGGCCCUGCUUGCAGGGUACUCGAGUGGCGAACGGGCGAGUAACACGUGGGUGAUCUGCCCUGCACUUCGGGAUAAGCCUGGGAAACUGGGUCUAAUACCGGAUAGGAGCCAUUUUUAGUGUGAUGGUUGGAAAGUUUUUUCGGUGUAGGAUGAGCUCGCGGCCUAUCAGCUUGUUGGUGGGGUAAUGGCCUACCAAGGCGGCGACGGGUAGCCGGCCUGAGAGGGUGGACGGCCACAUUGGGACUGAGAUACGGCCCAGACUCCUACGGGAGUCAGCAGUGGGGAAUAUUGCACAAUGGGCGCAAGCCUGAUGCAGCGACGCCGCGUGGGGGAUGACGGCCUUCGGGUUGUAAACUCCUUUCGCUAGGGACGAAGCUUUUUGUGACGGUACCUAGAUAAGAAGCACCGGCUAACUACGUG